GCCGGGCAUGGUGGCGUACGCCUUUAAUCCCAGCACUCGGGAGGCAGAGGCAGGUGGAUUUCUGAGUUUGAGGCCAGCCUGGUCUACAAAGUGAGUUCCAGGACAGCCAGGGCUAUACAGAAAAACCCUGUCUCAAAAACAAAAACAAAAACAAACAAAAACCACGGUUUCCCUAUGUAGCUUUUGUCGUCUUGGAACUCACUCUGUAGAUCCGGCUGGCCUCAAACGCAUAGAUAAUUUCCUGCCUCU
ensembl:misc_RNA Gm27826 predicted gene, 27826